rnacentral:rRNA from 1 species
UACGGAGGGUGCGAGCGUUGUCCGGAAUCAUUGGGCGUAAAGGGCGCGUAGGUGGCCACUUCAAGCGUGCGGUGAAAGUCGGGGGCUCAACCCCUGAUCGGCCGUGCGAACUGGGGGGCUGGAGCACUGUAGAGGCAGGUGGAAUUCCGGGUGUAGCGGUGGAAUGCGUAGAGAUCCGGAAGAACACCGGUGGCGAAGGCGGCCUGCUGGGCAGUAGCUGACGCUGAUGCGCGACAGCGUGGGGAGCAAACAGG